GCUAGUUUAGCUCAGUUGGUAGAGCAACUGACUCUUAAUCAGUGGGUCGGGGGUUCGAUCCCUCUAACUAGCACCA
rnacentral:tRNA from 1 species